GACCGCUGCAUCGCCUACAGACCUCUUCGGUGCUUUUUGGAUAACAAGCUGAGUGGAUGCUUUAUUUCCUAAGGUCAGCAUUCAGGUGUAUCUCAUCUUGCUCUUGGAAAAUCGAUUUCAUUAG